rnacentral:rRNA from 1 species
UGGGGGAUAUUGGUCAAUGGAGGAAACUCUGAACCAGCGACGCCGCGUGAGGGAAGAAGGUCUUCGGAUUGUAAACCUUUGUUGACAGGGACGAUACAAGACGGUACCUGUGGAGGAAGCCACGGCUAACUACGUGCCAGCAGCCGCGGUAAUACGUAGGUGGCAAGCGUUAUCCGGAUUUACUGGGUGUAAAGGGUGUGUAGGCGGGUCUGCAAGUCAGAUGUGAAAACUAUGGGCUCAACUCAUAGCUUGCAUUUGAAACUGUGGAUCUUGAGUGUCGGAGAGGUAAAUGGAAUUCCCGGUGUAGAGGUGAAAUUCGUAGAUAUCGGGAGGAACACCAGUGGCGAAGGCGGUUUACUGGACGAUUACUGACGCUGAGACACGAAAGUGUGGGGAGCAAACAGGAUUAGAUACCCUGGUAGU